rnacentral:rRNA from 1 species
UACGGAGGGGGCUAGCGUUGUCCGAAGUUACUGGGCGUAAAGCGCGCGUAGGCGGGUUGGUAAGUCCGCUGUGAAAGCCCGGAGCUUAACUCCGGAGGGUCGGUGGAUACUGCCAGUCUUGAAGGUGCUAGGGGGAGAUGGAAUUACCGGUGUAGCGGUGAAAUGCGUAGAUAUCAGGAGGAACACCGAUGGCGAAGGCAGGUCUCUGGGCCGCAACUGACGCUGAGGAGCGAAAGCAUGGGGAGCGAACAGG